GUAUCUUUGCAGUGCAUCGGUUCAUUUAUCUCCCCUCCGAGGUGAAUGAUUAAAAGGGAAUCAAGGUGAGAAUCCUGAACAGUCCCGCUGCUGUAUGUUUCACUAAACGCAUAAGCAAAAUGCCAAUAACCACUGGGAUAAUUUCCGGGAAGGUGCUUAUAGCGGAAACGAGUCAGAAGACCUGCCUGUGCAUUUAUCAAAUC
rnacentral:ncRNA from 2 species